GACGAACGCUGGCGGCGCGCUUAACACAUGCAAGUCGAGCGAGAACCCAGGCUUCGGCCUGGGGGAAAGCGGCGAACGGGUGAGUAACACGUGGGUAAUCUGCCCUCGGCAUCGGGAUAGCCCGGGGAAACCCGGAUUAAUACCGGAUGGCCCGACGGCUCUUCGGAGCGGUCGGAAAAGGUAGCUUCGGCCUCCGGCCGAGGAGGAGCCCGCGGCGGAUUAGCUUGUUGGUGAGGUAAAGGCUCACCAAGGCUCCGAUCCGCAGCUGGUCUGAGAGGACGAUCAGCCACACUGGGACUGAGACACGGCCCAGACUCCUACGGGAGGCAGCAGUGGGGAAUCUUGCGCAAUGGGCGAAAGCCUGACGCAGCGACGCCGCGUGAGGGAAGAAGGCCUUCGGGUUGUAAACCUCUUUCAGGAGGGACGAAGCCACUCGGGUUAAUAGCCCAGAGGGUGACGGUACCUCCAGAAGAAGCCCCGGCUAACUACGUGCCAGCCGCCGCGGUAA
rnacentral:rRNA from 1 species